UUUGGUGGGAAGUCGUGGCUAUACGUUCUAAGCCUUAGAGACGCGGGUUGCUGCAGGCGGUGCGUGGAAUCCCUCCGCUGCAGGCGGACAGGACCCGAGGGGAGAACUCAGGAAUCUGCAUCCGUAGGGCCGCAACCGGAGAAAGGUGCCUCCUGAGAAACCCCGAUGAGGAUCUCAUUGCAGCCACCUAGCCAGCGCUCUGAGCUGUUCCGGGGUGGGGGUGGGAGGGCCAGGGCCGCAGAGACUGGAAACUGAAGGAAGCUAAUGAAGUCCCAGGGCUGGAAGACGGGGCGCGAUGGCCCCAUCAAUCUCUCCCCGACAUUACGUGCAAAACGCUACAGGUCAUAAACGCCAUCUGAUAGCCCAGCCUGGCACUGUCCACACAGGGUGAUGGAUUGAUAAUUAUUAUAAUUUGUGAAAUGA